AUUGAACGCUGGCGGCAGGCCUAACACAUGCAAGUCGAGCGAGCGGCGGACGGGUGAGUAAUGUCUGGGACACUGCCCGAUCGAGGGGGAUAACUACUGGAAACGGUAGCUAAUACCGCAUAAUAUCAGAUGCGCCCAGAUGGGAUUAGCUAGUGGGUGGGGUAACGGCUCACCUAGGCGACGAUCCCUAGCUGGGCGGAGAGGAUGACCAGCCGCACUGGGACUGAGACACGGUCCAGACUCCUACGGGAGGCAGCAGUGGGGAAUAUUGCACAAUGGGCGCAAGCCUGAUGCAGCCAUGCCGCGUGUAUGAAGAAGGCCUUCGGGUUGUAAAGUACUUUCAGUGGGGAGGCGUUACCCGCAGAAGAAGCACCGGCUAACUCCGUGCCAGCAGCCGCGGUAAUAC
rnacentral:rRNA from 1 species